rnacentral:lncRNA from 1 species
GCAGGUGGUGCGGAGAAGAAAGUUUAAAGAGGUGCGUGGAUAAGCUCCGUAUAUUUAUGCCCAUAAAAUUGUGGAAGAAAAUACAAUAAAUGUUUGGUAGAGGUUGUCUCUGAGUGGUAAUUAUGUUAUUUUUAUUUUUGUCUUAGAUUUUUCCACAAUGAACAUUUAUUUUCAUAAGAACAAAAAAAGACAAAAGUAAAAAUAACUAAUGCUUAUAUAACAUUUACUCUGCGCCAGGUGUUGCAAAAUGCUUUUGUUGUUGGCUGCAGCGUGCAGCGGCUUGAUGUGGGAUCUCAGUUCGCAGACCAGUAGCAGUGAAGCUCUGAGUCCUGACUGCUGUACCACCAGGGAACUCCCGAUAUAUUAACUGAUUUAAUUCUCACGCAGUCCUAGCAGAAAGUAUCAGUACUCUCAUCAUUUUAUAGAUGAAGAAAGUGAGGCACAGAAAGGUUCCCAAGGUCCCAGAGCCAGUUAAUUACAGAGCCAAGAUGAUAACUGAGACCAUGGCUCCAGAGUCCUUAGGAAAGUAGGUCUCACAGCUUAUCAGGAACUUUUCCUCUCUUUUCUCCUUGUGGAAAAACAGAUUCUUAAAGUUCCCUAAACACCACCUCCUACAUGAAGUCUUCCUGGUCUACCCAUCUUCCUUCAUAGCUGUUAGCUCCUUCCAUGUCAGUACUUCCUUUUUGCAACUGAGUUGCAGUUUGUGCCACACAAGUAGGUUAAGUUGAUUUUGUGUGUGUGUGUGCCAUUUUAACUAUUUUUAAGCAUGCAGUUCAUUGUCAUUAACUACAUUCACAAUGUUGCGCAACCAUCACUGCUGUAUGUUUCCAAAACUUUUUCAUGAGUGCAAGCAGAAACCCUGUUAACUAUUAAGCAAUAACUCCCCAUUCUUCUUUCUCCCCAUUCCUUGGUAACCCCUAACUUACUUUCCGUCUCUAUGGAUUUGCCUGUUCUAGAUAUUUCAUGUCAGCUGAAUUUUACAGUAUAUGUCCUUUUGUGUCUGGCUUAUACUUAGCAUAGUGUUUUCAAAGUUCAUCCAUGUUGUAUGUGUCAGAAAUUCAUUAUGGCUGAUUAAUGUUCUGUUGCAUGGAUAUACCACAUUUUGUUUAUCCAUUCAUCCGUCAAUAAACACUUGGGGAGUUCCCGUUGCAGCUCAGCGAUAAUGAACCCAACUAGUAUCCACGAGGAUCAGGGUUCAAUCCCUGGCCCCGCUCAGUGGGUUAAGGAUCUGGUGUUGCCAAGAGUUUCAGUAUAGGUUGAAGACGUGGCUCAGAGCCUGAGACAUGGGUCAGAUGCUGUGGCUGUGACCUGCAUCUGCAGCUCCAAUUCGACCCUUAGCCUGGGAACUUCCAUAUACUGCAGGUGCAGCCCUAAAAAGGAAAAAAAGACCAACAAGAAAAACCACUUGGGUUGUUUCUACCUUUUGGCUAAUGUAGAUAAUGCUGUAAAGAACACUGGCAUUUAGUGAUCUAUUUUGAGUUCCUCUUUUUUGUUUGUUUGUUUUUGUUUUUUGUCUUUUUGCCUUUUCUAUAGGGCUGUUCCCGCGGCAUAUGGAGGUUCCCAGGCUGGUGGCUACAGCUCCCACUCGAUCCCUAGCUUGGGAACCUCCAUAUGCCACGGGAGCAGCCCAAGAAAUAGCAAAAAGACAAAAAAAAAAACAAAACCAAAACUUGGUGCUGACUGUUGCUGCAGCCUAAAUGCAGCCCUCCUCUCAAUCCUCGACUGGCUCUUUCCCAUCCUCAGGUUUCAGUUCAAUUCUUUUAAUUUUUUAUCAAUUUGUUUCUUUUAUUUAUUUUUUGCUUUUUUGAGGGGCACCUGCAGCAUAUGGAAGUUUCCAGGCAAGGGGUCCAUUCGGAGCUGCAGCUGCUGGCCUACACCACAACAGCAGCAAUGCCAGAUCCUUAACCACUGAAAGAGGCCAGGGAUCGCACCCAAUCCUCAUGGAUAUCAGUUGGGUUCGUAACCCGCUGAGCCACAACGAGAACUCUCAGAUUUCAAUUCAAAUGACACCUCUGGGAGUUCUCUUAUGGUGCAGUGGGUUAGUUAAGGAUCCAGGGUUGUCAGUGCUGCCACUCGGAUCACUGAUGUGGCUUGGAUUCGAUCCCUGGCCCAAGAACUUCCACAUGCCCUGAGCACAGCCAAAACAAAGAAAUGCACUUCUUCAGUGAGUCCUUUCACCACCCUCUAAACCAGUAGCGCUGAUCCUACAGUCACUCUCUAUGUCAUCCCUCUUUUAUUUUCCUUGUAGCACUUAGCACUCUUUGAGAUAGUUUUCUUUACUUGGUGAACUUGUUCAGAGACUGUUUUACUAGAUAUGAGCUCCAGAAGUGUGCACGCCCUGUCUAUCCUGUUUGCUGCUCUGUGCAAACAGUAGUGCUUAGUACACAGUAGGCCUUCAGCAAUUACUAGAUAAAUGAGUGAAUGAAUGCCCGUAUGCAUUUUUUUUUUUGUCUUUUCUUUUCUUUUUUUUUUUUUUUUUUUUUUUUUUUUUGCUAUUUCUUGGGCCGCUCCCGCAGCAUAUGGAGGUUCCCAGGCUAGGGGUCGAAUCGGAGCUGUAGCCACCGGCCUACACCAAAGCCACAGCAACUCAGGAUCCGAGCCGCAUCUGCAACCUACACCACAGCUCACGGCAACGCUGGAUUGUUAACCCACUGAGCAAGGGCAGGGACCGAAUCCGAAACCUCAUGGUUCCUAGUCGGAUUCGUUAACCACUGCGCCACGACGGGAACUCCCCCGUAUGCAUUUUUGAAUCAUUUUCGGAUGUCUGUCAAGUCUGUAUGUUAAUGUGUGCUCAACUCAAAUAGGCCUUAUGUCAACUCUGGCUCCCUCCACUCUUCCCUGAGCUCUGGAGGGCAGGAACCAUGUCCAAUCCAUCAUUGCACCUUGGAGCAGUUCUGCAAGUGCACUGCCUACAGUGAAGGGCCAGAAUUUUAAAUUUCCAGUCCACUGCAGACUGGUACUUUUGAAAAAUACAGUAACAAUGUUAGGGAAAUGUCAGCUUGCUAGAAAACUUUUUGAAAGCUUAUUCUCGAUUUCUGUGCUUAUAGUGUCCUGAGCAGGUGAUGAACAGUUUACAGUUUGAGUCACACUGCCUUAGAGGUCCGCACAAUACAUGGUAGGUAGAUGUCAGUGUUUAGAACACUGACUUUUUCUUUCUUCCUCCCUCUCUUUCUUUUCUUCCUUCCCUUCCUUCCUUUCUUCUUUCACCACCCCACAACACAUGGAGUUCCCAAGCCAGGGAUCAGAUCUGAGCUGCAGUUGCAACCCAGGCCACAGCUUCGGCAAUGCAGGCUCCUUUAACCCACUGUGCCAGGGUGAGGAUCAAACCUGCAUUCCAGGGCUACAGAGAUGCUGCCCAUCCUGUUGCACCAUAGCAGGAACUCCUGCCUUGACCUCUUAGAAAACCAAGACAUCAUCUACAUGGGAUUAAAGACAAAGAAGGAGGGGAACAGGGGAACAGACUUCGUUUAUUGCAAAACAUCUAGUAAAUGCCAACUGUUAGAUUGAUGCUGUCCACUGGAAAUUUUUUUUUUUAAGGCCGCACCUGCUGCAUAUGAAGUUCCCAGGCUAGGGGCCCAAUCGGAGCUGUAGCUUCCGGCCUUUGCCACAGCCAUAGCAACUUGGGAUCUGAGCCACAAUGCAACUUACACCACAGCUCACGGCAACGCCAGAUCUUUAAUUCAUGGAGCAAGGCCGGGGAUCGAACCCACAUCCUCAUGGAUACUAGUCCAGUUCAUUACCGCUGAGCCACAACAGAACUCCUGCAACUUUUUGCGGCAAUGUAGAUGUUUUAUAACUGUGCUAUCCAAUAUGAUGGCCACUAGCCACAUGUGUCUGUUGAACACUUGUAAUGUGGCAAGUCAAGGAAUCAAAUUUUCUGUUUUUAUUUUAGUUAAUUUAAAUAGCCACAUAUAACUAUUAGCAAACACUUUUUUUUUUCUUUUUUGUAUGUACCUGCUGCAUGUGAAAGUUCCCAGACCAGGGAUCGAACCCACGUCACAGUUGCAGCCUUUGCCACAGCUAUGGCAAUGCCAGACCCUUAACCUACAAGGGAACUUCCUAAUGGCAAAUACUUUUGAUAGUGCAGUUAUAACAAGUUAUAUCUUUGAAAACAAAAUGCCUCCAUCUUUAGCACCUGAUAUCCAAUCAGUUUCCAAGAUGUGUCCGCUCUUCUGCCUAAAUGUUGGUCCAGUCAGACCUUUCUCCAUCCCCCAACUCAGUGGAUAGUAAUCCUGCUCAGAGUCAUGCAUCCUUGAUUUCUCCCUCUCCUUAAAUACUCCCUCUCCCUAAAUAUUCCCUCUGCAACCUCCAAUUUAUCACCACGUCCUCUCAGUAUUAUCUCUUAAGCACCUUACAGUCCCCUCUAAUUCUCCAUCUCUACCACCACCAUUACCUCUCACCUAGACAGUAGCCCCCAAACCAGCUUCCUUGCAUCAGGUCUUGCUCACCAUUCCCAGCCCCUAGUGCUCUUCGGAAAACCCUUGAGUGGCUCCCCAUUAUUUAUUAGGAUAAAGACAAACCUCUUCCUGAGCCUACAACCCCCUCCAUAGUCCUUGGUCUGGCCCUAUUCCUACUGCUGACUAGGUCAAACCCUUCCUUCCUUCCUUCCUUCUCACUCUCUUUCUCGCUUGCUUGCUUUCUUUUUUUUUUUUUUCUCAUUUUUUCAUAGAAGGCUGUCUUGAUCAAUGCAGUUCUUCUUUGAGCAUCAGGCAUAGUUUCUUUCUUUUUUUUUUUAGUUUUUAGGGCCGUACCUGUGGCAUAUGGAGGUUCCCAGGCUAGGGGUCAAAUCGGAGCUAGAGCUGCUGGCCUACAUCUCAGCCACAGCAAAGGCAGAACGGAACCGCAUCUGCAACCUACACCACAACUCACAGCAACGCUGGAUCCUUAACCCACUGAGCAAGGCCAGGGAUCAAACCUGCAACCUCAUGGUUAUUAGUUGGAUUCGUUUCUGCUGCACCAUGAUGGGAACUCCAGGCACAGUUUCAACUUUACUUUCAUUUGUAUUGAGUUGAUUAAUGGUCUUCCACACUCCCCCAACUAGACUACCAGCUCUGUGAGGACCAAGAAUGGGCUGGUUUUGCUCAACAUUUUAUUCCCCUGCCUCACACCUGGUGAUGAUGUUCAAUAAAUAUUUGUUAUAACGGCAGUUUAGGGAGUUCCCUGGUGGCUCAGCAGGUUAAGCCAGCAUUGUCACUGCUGUAGCUCUGGUUACUGCUGUGGUGAAGAUUUGAUCCCUGGUCCAGAAAGCUCUGCAUGCCAAGGGCGUGGCCAAAAAAAAAAAAAAAAAAAAAAAAA